rnacentral:rRNA from 1 species
GAUCAUGGCUCAGGACGAACGCUGGCGGCGUGCUUAACACAUGCAAGUCGAACGAGAAUCUGUGGAUCGAGGAUUCGUCCAAGUGAAGCAGAGGACAGUGGCGGACGGGUGAGUAACGCGUGAGGAACCUGCCUUUCAGAGGGGGACAACAGUUGGAAACGACUGUUAAUACCGCAUGAUACAUUUGGGUGGCAUCAUCUAGAAUGUCAAAGAUUUAU